rnacentral:rRNA from 2 species
GGUGUGCCUAAUACAUGCAAGUCGAACGCGUUGGCCCAAUUGAUUGAUGGUGCUUGCACCUGAUUGAUUUUGGUCGCCAACGAGUGGCGGACGGGUGAGUAACACGUAGGUAACCUGCCCAGAAGCGGGGGACAACAUUUGGAAACAGAUGCUAAUACCGCAUAACAGCGUUGUUCGCAUGAACAACGCUUAAAAGAUGGCUUCUCGCUAUCACUUCUGGAUGGACCUGCGGUGCAUUAGCUUGUUGGUGGGGUAACGGCCUACCAAGGCGAUGAUGCAUAGCCGAGUUGAGAGACUGAUCGGCCACAAUGGGACUGAGACACGGCCCAUACUCCUACGGGAGGCAGCAGUAGGGAAUCUUCCACAAUGGGCGCAAGCCUGAUGGAGCAACACCGCGUGAGUGAAGAAGGGUUUCGGCUCGUAAAGCUCUGUUGUUAAAGAAGAACACGUAUGAGAGUAACUGUUCAUACGUUGACGGUAUUUAACCAGAAAGUCACGGCUAACUACGUGCCAGCAGCCGCGGUAAUACGUAGGUGGCAAGCGUUAUCCGGAUUUAUUGGGCGUAAAGAGAGUGCAGGCGGUUUUCUAAGUCUGAUGUGAAAGCCUUCGGCUUAACCGGAGAAGUGCAUCGGAAACUGGAUAACUUGAGUGCAGAAGAGGGUAGUGGAACUCCAUGUGUAGCGGUGGAAUGCGUAGAUAUAUGGAAGAACACCAGUGGCGAAGGCGGCUACCUGGUCUGCAACUGACGCUGAGACUCGAAAGCAUGGGUAGCGAACAGGAUUAGAUACCCUGGUAGUCCAUGCCGUAAACGAUGAGUGCUAGGUGUUGGAGGGUUUCCGCCCUUCAGUGCCGGAGCUAACGCAUUAAGCACUCCGCCUGGGGAGUACGACCGCAAGGUUGAAACUCAAAGGAAUUGACGGGGGCCCGCACAAGCGGUGGAGCAUGUGGUUUAAUUCGAAGCUACGCGAAGAACCUUACCAGGUCUUGACAUCUUGCGCCAACCCUAGAGAUAGGGCGUUUCCUUCGGGAACGCAAUGACAGGUGGUGCAUGGUCGUCGUCAGCUCGUGUCGUGAGAUGUUGGGUUAAGUCCCGCAACGAGCGCAACCCUUGUUACUAGUUGCCAGCAUUAAGUUGGGCACUCUAGUGAGACUGCCGGUGACAAACCGGAGGAAGGUGGGGACGACGUCAGAUCAUCAUGCCCCUUAUGACCUGGGCUACACACGUGCUACAAUGGACGGUACAACGAGUCGCGAACUCGCGAGGGCAAGCAAAUCUCUUAAAACCGUUCUCAGUUCGGACUGCAGGCUGCAACUCGCCUGCACGAAGUCGGAAUCGCUAGUAAUCGCGGAUCAGCAUGCCGCGGUGAAUACGUUCCCGGGCCUUGUACACACCGCCCGUCACACCAUGAGAGUUUGUAACACCCAAAGUCGGUGGGGUAACCUUUUAGGAGCCAGCCGCCUAAGGUGGGACAGAUGAUUA